UGCAAGUCGAGGGGUAUAGUUCUUCGGAACUAGAGACCGGCGCACGGGUGCGUAACGCGUAUGCAAUCUACCUUUCACAAAGGAAUAGCCCAGAGAAAUUUGGAUUAAUACCUUAUAGUAAUACGACUUGGCAUCAAGAUGUAUUUAAAGAUUUAUCGGUGAAAGAUGAGCAUGCGUCCCAUUAGCUAGUUGGUAAGGUAACGGCUUACCAAGGCAACGAUGGGUAGGGGUCCUGAGAGGGAGAUCCCCCACACUGGUACUGAGACACGGACCAGACUCCUACGGGAGGCAGCAGUGAGGAAUAUUGGACAAUGGGCGCAAGCCUGAUCCAGCCAUGCCGCGUGCAGGAUGACGGUCCUAUGGAUUGUAAACUGCUUUUAUACGAGAAGAAACACUCCGACGUGUCGGAGCUUGACGGUAUCGUAAGAAUAAGGAUCGGCUAACUCCGUGCCAGCAGCCGCGGUAAUACGGAGGAUCCAAGCGUUAUCCGGAAUCAUUGGGUUUAAAGGGUCCGUAGGCGGUCAGAUAAGUCAGUGGUGAAAGCCCAUCGCUCAACGGUGGAACGGCCAUUGAUACUGUCUGACUUGAAUUAUUAGGAAGUAACUAGAAUAUGUAGUGUAGCGGUGAAAUGCUUAGAGAUUACAUGGAAUACCAAUUGCGAAGGCAGGUUACUACUAAUUGAUUGACGCUGAUGGACGAAAGCGUGGGUAGCGAACAGGAUUAGAUACCCUGGUAGUCCACGCCGUAAACGAUGGAUACUAGCUGUUGGGAGCAAUCUCAGUGGCUAAGCGAAAGUGAUAAGUAUCCCACCUGGGGAGUACGUUCGCAAGAAUGAAACUCAAAGGAAUUGACGGGGGCCCGCACAAGCGGUGGAGCAUGUGGUUUAAUUCGAUGAUACGCGAGGAACCUUACCAAGGCUUAAAUGUAGAUUGACCGGUUUGGAAACAGACUUUUCGCA
rnacentral:rRNA from 1 species